GGCGGAGUAGCUCAGGGGUUAGAGCGGCGGAUUCAUAAGCCGUAGGUCGUGGGUUCGAUUCCCACCUCCGCUA
rnacentral:tRNA from 2 species